AUGUUUCAUUGGUGCGUUUUCUCGUUGUACACAAAGCAGAACGCUUUACGACUACCCAGGCUGAAACGCUUCUGAUUUUCGCUAACGACUAGCUAUCAAUAAGGAUGAUUGAGGUGGUUUGCAAUGACCGGCUGGGCAAGAAGGUCCGGGUGAAGUGCAACUCAGAAGACACCAUAGGAGACCUGAAGAAGCUCAUCGCUGCCCAGACAGGCACACGGUGG